GCGUGGAGCCGCGGGGGAAGCAAGUAAAAAUAGCCUGGCGCGCACCGCUCUGCCUGCUCUGGACGCCUUUAACCCUGGCCAAGGUGGGGAGCUCAGCAGCCACUACAGCACACUGCUGAACCUGGCAGGGGUCUGCAUCCAGACCCCGUACAACAGCUGGGGUGCGGGGGCUUAGAGACCCGUGAAAACUUUUUUUUUUUUUUUAGAAACCCAGAAGUGGGGGGAGGGAAGAGCAGGAGAAAGCUGUUUCUUGCUUCUAGCACUCCAGCCACCUGGCUGCAGGGACUGCUAUGUGCCCACUGGUCCAACACUUUACAGAAGUGCAGCCUUGACUCGGAGCUAUUUUUAGCAACCUCUUCCGCGGGUGGGCGAUCAGAGGGAGGAGUGUGAGGGGAUUGGGAAGGCUAGCUCUCUGCUGUGAGGCUAGGCGCCUUUGCGGGUGGAGAAGAGGAAGUGUCGAGGGGAUAAGCAUGCUGGCUUUGCCCUAACUCAAGGAGACAGCGUUAGCUGCUGAAUGCCCUACUGCUUUCAAGCCCCUGAGCGUGUUUGUUUUUCGAAAUCGACAAUUGCCAGAUGCAUGCUGCUUCUAAUCUCUCAGAGAAUUGGGAUUUUAAAAGCGUUGCUGCCUAUUGCUAUGGGGUAAAGGUUAGCUGCAGUUAAGACCUUACCGAAGAUCGGAAGGGUCUCUGCAUCGUUUUGCAUUCCAGCAAGACAGAGGGACAAUCCCCGUGCCACACCUCCAUCCCCGCCUCACGCUGCAUAUGGGUAACCAUAUGUGAAAUGUACGGCAGCCCCACCAGACACCCGGCUAUUAAUAGAGCCCGGGAGUUUGCUCUCUGUCUUUUUCCUGCCACCGAGUAAGGGAUGAUCUUCACACACAUACCCCACUCCGCCCCCACCUCGGCGCACCGUUUCUCCAGGAAGGUGGGGAAAUCGGAGCACAGAGAAGACAACUAACUGGACCCAAGUCCCCCAGCUAGUAAGCUGUAAACUGCAGAGUUGGGAUUUGAGACCAGGCAGGCAGCUACAAAUGAGGCCUCUCUGAAAACAAACCACACCCAAGGUUGCUCUUGAGGCAAAAGAAGUCAUGUGGGUGGAAUUUUUAUCUUCUGUUCCUACCUUUCCUCUUUCCAGACAGAGAGAAAGCACGAGAAGGGGAGGGGCACAGAGAGAAGGAGAGAG